CGGUAAAACGCGCUGGAGGACCGAACCCACGUAAGUUGAAAAUUGCGGGGAUGAGUUGUGGGUAGCGGUGAAAUUCCAAACGAACUUGGAGAUAGCUGGUUCUCUCCGAAAUAGCUUUAGGGCUAGCCUCGCAAAGAGGAUGCUGGAGGUAGAGCUCUGUUUGGACUAGGGGCCCGUCAAGGGUUACUGAAUUCAGAUAAACUGCGAAUUCCAGACAUUUAUGUGCGGGAGUCAGACUGCGAGUGAUAAGAUCCGUAGUCGAAAGGGAAACAGCCCAGAUCACCAGUUAAGGUCCCAAAAUUCAUGCUAAGUGGAAAAGGAUGUGGAGUUGCGCAGACAACUAGGACGUUGGCUCAGAAGCAGCCAUCAUUCAAAGAGUGCGUAAUAGCUCACUAGUCGAGUGACGCCGCGCCGAAAAUUUACCGGGGCUAAGCAUGAUACCGAAACUGUGGAUGUGCGUUUAUGCACGUGGUAGGAGAGCGUUCUAGCGGCGGUGAAGCAUGACCGAGAGGACAUGUGGAGCUUCUAGAAGUGAGAAUGCCGGUAUGAGUAACGAAAGACAGGUGAGAAUCCUGUCCGCCGCAAGACUAAGGUUUCCUGGGGCAGGCUCGUCCGCCCAGGGUAAGUCGGGACCUAAGGCGAGGCCGAGAGGCGUAGUCGAUGGACAACAGGUUGAAAUUCCUGUACUGCACCGAAUCGUUAUGAGCGAUGGAGGGACGCAGGAGGCUAGCAGCGCGUGGUGCUGGAUACCACGUUCAAGCGUCAAGUCUGAGAGUGAGUCAAAUGCUUGCUCUCAUAAGGACAAGGCGUGAUGAGGAGCGAAAUUAAAGUAGCGAAGGCUGCGACGUCACACUGCCGAGAAAAGCUUCUAGCCAGAGACGGUGCACCCGUACCGCAAACCGACACAGGUAGUCGAGGAGAGUAUCCUCAGGUGAGCGAGAGAACUCUCGUUAAGGAACUCGGCAAAAUGGCCCCGUAACUUCGGGAGAAGGGGCGCUGGUCGCAAGAUCAGCCGCAGUGAAAAGGCCCAAGCAACUGUUUAUCAAAAACACAGGCAUCUGCAAAAUCGUAAGAUGAAGUAUAGGUGCUGACACCUGCCCGGUGCUGGAAGGUUAAGAGGAGAGCUUAGCGCAAGCGAAGGUUUGAAUUGAAGCCCCAGUAAACGGCGGCCGUAACUAUAACGGUCCUAAGGUAGCGAAAUUCCUUGUCGGGUAAGUUCCGACCUGCACGAAAGGUGUAAUGAUUUGGGCACUGUCUCAACGAGAGACUCGGUGAAAUUAUAAUACCCGUGAAGAUGCGGGUUACCCGCGACAGGACGGAAAGACCCCAUGGAGCUUUACUGCAGUUUAAUAUUGGGUAUCUGUCAAGCAUGUACAGGAUAGGUAGGAGCCGGAGAAGAUAGGACGCCAGUCUUAUC
rnacentral:rRNA from 1 species